rnacentral:rRNA from 1 species
CGCGUAGGCGGGUUUGUUAGUCAGAGGUGAAAUCCUGCGGCUUAACCGUAGAACUGCCUUUGAUACUGCAGAUCUUGAGUGCGGAAGAGAGAGACGGAAUUCCAGGUGUAGUGGUGAAAUACGUAGAUAUCUGGAAGAACACCAGUGGCGAAGGCGGUCUCUUGGUCCGUUACUGACGCUGAGGCGCGAAAGCGUGGGGAGCAAACA